GAUGAACGCUGGCGGCGUGCUUAACACAUGCAAGUCGAACGAGAAGUGAAGACGGAAACCUUCGGGCGGAAGGCUUUAUUUCGAGUGGCGGACGGGUGAGUAACGCGUGGGUAACCUGCCUCAUACAGGGGGAUAACAGUUGGAAACGACUGUUAAUACCGCAUAAGACCACAGCACCGCAUGGUGCGGGGGUAAAAACUCCGGUGGUAUGAGAUGGACCCGCGUUCGAUUAGCCAGUUGGCGGGGUAACGGCCCACCAAAGCGACGAUCGAUAGCCGAUCUGAGAGGAAGACCGGCCACAUUUGGACUGAGACACGGCCCAAACUCCUACGGGAGGCAGCAGUGGGGAAUAUUGCAAAAUGGGGGAAACCCUGAUGCAGCGACGCCGCGUGAGUGAAGAAGUAUUGCGGUAUGUAAAGCUCUAUCAGCAGGGAAGAAAAUGACGGUACCUGAGUAAGAAGCCCCGGCUAACUACGUG
rnacentral:rRNA from 1 species